rnacentral:misc_RNA from 1 species
UAUUCUCAACUCCAACAGCUUUUGUGGCUGUCUUGGGGCUUGGAUGUGGAGGUUUUGCUGGCUGCAAGGUCAGCUCCUCUGAAAUACAUUAGCGGAACCGUUUGCGAUCCGUCACAGGUGUGAUAAUUAUCUACGCCUAAAGGGUUGCUUUCUUUCUGUUCAGCUCAUAACCGUCCUGUCACUGGACAACUAUAAUGAAC